GGGGGAUAUUGCGCAAUGGGGGCAACCCUGACGCAGCAACGCCGCGUGAAGGAUGAAGGUUUUCGGAUUGUAAACUUCUUUUAUUAAGGACGAAAAAUGACGGUACUUAAUGAAUAAGCUCCGGCUAACUACGUGCCAGCAGCCGCGGUAAUACGUAGGGAGCAAGCGUUGUCCGGAUUUACUGGGUGUAAAGGGUGCGUAGGCGGCUUUGCAAGUCAGAUGUGAAAUCUAUGGGCUCAACCCAUAAACUGCAUUUGAAACUGUAGAGCUUGAGUGAAGUAGAGGCAGGCGGAAUUCCCCGUGUAGCGGUGAAAUGCGUAGAGAUGGGGAGGAACACCAGUGGCGAAGGCGGCCUGCUGGGCUUUAACUGACGCUGAGGCACGAAAGCGUGGGUAGCAAAC
rnacentral:rRNA from 1 species